rnacentral:lncRNA from 1 species
GUUUCCUUUUAUUUUUAGGGUUUUAACCCUUUCAAAUUCCAACAUCGCGAUUAACAUUCUUGAUCCGGACACCAUUGUGUGUUGGGGUUUGAUGUGGCCGUCAAUGGAGUUUGCAGAAGAUGUAUGAAAAGGUUGAUGGUUAGGGUUUGGUUCAUGGGCCUUAAAUAACAGCCCAUUUUGAAAUCUGUUCAGCUCAUUUUGUAUUUAUUUGUAGGGCAUUUUGGGCUCUAAAGAUUUGGCAAAUACGACUAGCGUAAGGUAGAGUUGUACAAAAAAAAAAGAAAAAGAAAAAAAACGGUUGACAUCGAGAAAACCAGUUUGAAAUCUCUUCAGCUCGUUUUUUUAAUAUAUUUUUAUUUUUUUAUAUU